rnacentral:tRNA from 1 species
AGAGAUAUAGCUUAGUGGCACAGCGCCUGCCUGACAAGUGUGAAGCCUUGAGUUUGAUUCUCAGUUCUUUUU